rnacentral:rRNA from 1 species
GAUGAACGCUGGCGGCGUGCCUAAUACAUGCAAGUCGAGCGAACAGACGAGGAGCUUGCUCCUCUGACGUUAGCGGCGGACGGGUGAGUAACACGUGGAUAACCUAUCUAUAAGACUGGGAUAACUUCGGGAAACCGGAGCUAAUACCGGAUAAUAUAUUGAACCGCAUGGUUCAAUAGUGAAAGACGGUUUUGCUGUCACUUAUAGAUGGAUCCGCGCCGCAUUAGCUAGUUGGUAAGGUAACGGCUUACCAAGGCAACGAUGCGUAGCCGACCUGAGAGGGUGAUCAGCCACACUGGAACUGAGACACGGUCCAGACUCCUACGGGAGGCAGCAGUAGGGAAUCUUCCGCAAUGGGCGAAAGCCUGACGGAGCAACGCCGCGUGAGUGAUGAAGGUCUUCGGAUCGUAAAACUCUGUUAUUAGGGAAGAACAAAUGUGUAAGUAACUAUGCACGUCUUGACGGUACCUAAUCAGAAAGCCACGGCUAACUACGUG